CUUGAUCGAGCCCAGCCACAGCGGCCGCUCGGGGCUGUGCUCGCGCCCGUACGUCGCGAGCAGCGCCUGCGCCUC
rnacentral:antisense_RNA from 1 species